rnacentral:tRNA from 1 species
GCGUCGGUGGUUCAGUGGUAGCAUACUCGCCUGCCACGCGGGUGACCCGGGUUCGAUUCCCGGCCGACGCA